rnacentral:rRNA from 1 species
UACAGAGGUCUCAAGCGUUAUUCGGAUUCAUUGGGCGUAAAGGGUGCGUAGGCGGUGGGGCAAGUCAGGUGUGAAAUCCCGGAGCUCAACUCCGGAACUGCACUUGAUACUGCUUUACUAGAGUACUGGAGAGGAGACUGGAAUUUACGGUGUAGCAGUGAAAUGCGUAGAUAUCGUAAGGAAGACCAGUGGCGAAGGCGAGUCUCUGGACAGUUACUGACGCUGAGGCACGAAGGCCAGGGGAGCAAACGGG